GGAGCAUCUUUAUCAAAUCUGCCUGCAUACCAAAUGCCUCCUUUACAACGGGCUGAAAUAGAAAGACAGGUUAAGGAAUUAUUGGAAAAAGGUCUGGUGCGUGAAAGUAAAAGUCCAUGUACCUGCCCAGCCUUAUUAACACCAAAGAAAGACGGUUCUUGGAGAAUGUGUGUAGAUAGUCGUGCUAUAAACAAGAUUAUAAUCAAAUAUCGCUUUCCAAUAACAAGAUUGGAGGAUAUGCUUGAUUAACUAGCAUGUUCUAAAGUGUUCUCCAAAAUUGACUUGAAAAGUGGAUAUCACCAAAUUAGAAUGAGGCAUGAUGAUGAAUGGAAAAUAGCUUUUAAGACACCGGAUGGGUUAUUUGAAUGGUUAGUAAUGCCAUUUGGCCUUUCUAAUGCACCAAACACAUGCAUGAGAGUCAUGACAGAUGUACUCAAACCUUUCUUGAAUUCUUUCAUUGUGGUAUAUUUCGAUGACAUUUUGAUUUAUAGCCGCAUAGAGGAAGAUCAUUUAAAAUACUUGCGACAAGUAUUAGAAGUACUUCGUCAAGAGAAGCUGCACAUAAAGCUAAAAAAAUGCAGUUUCCUGCAACCAGAAGUGGUAUUCCUGGGAUACAUUGUGUCCGCUGAAGGAUUAAAACCAGAUCCAGAAAAGGUUUGUGCAAUUACCGAAUGGCCAGCACCACAAUCCAUCAAAGAAGUUAGAAGCUUUCAUGGUUUGGCCUCUUUCCAUAGGAGAUUUAUCCAAAAUUUCAGUUCAAUUAUGAGUCCUAUAAUUGCAUAUCUGAAAGAAGAAAAGUUUGAGUGGACAAAUUCUGCACAAAAGGCAUUUGAAAGAAUCAAGUUUUUAAUGACUAGAGCACUUGUUCUUGCACUUCCAGAUUUUGAGAAAUUAUUUAUUGUCAAAUGUGAUGCUUCACAUGAAGGGAUUUGAGCUGUUCUUAGCCAAGAGGGCAGACCUCUUGAGUUUUUUAGUGAAAAGUUAUCUGAAGCUAAAAAGCGUUACUCAACUUAUGAUAUAGAGUUCUAUGCCUUGGUAAGAGCUAUUCGACAUUGGCAACAUUACUUAGCUUAUCGUGAGUUUAUGGUUUUUUCUGAUCAUCAGGCCUUGAGGUAUCUAAAAUCUCAGAAUAAACUCAACAAUCGACAUGCUAAGUGGAGUUCUUUCCUUGAUGAAUUUAAUUUCUCACUAAAGUAUAAAUCCCGUCAAUCUAAUAUUGUGGCUGAUGCAUUGAGUAGAAGAUCCCUAAUUUUGUCAAUUUUGACACUCAAAUUACUGGUUUUGAAGAACUGAAAAACCAGUAUGAUUCGGAUUCAUGUUUUGGCAAGAUAAAGGCUGAUUUACUGCAUUCUUCAGAAGCUGAAAGUCUGCCAUACCGAUUGCAAGAUGGUUAUUUAUUCAAAGGGAAUAAGCUAUGCAU